GCUGGAAUAGCUCAGUUGGUUAGAGCAUGUGGCUGUUAACCAGAAGGUCAGAGGUUCAAGCCACGUCAACAUUCCAGAA